rnacentral:rRNA from 1 species
UUCGCAAUGCCCGAAAGGGUGACGAAGCGACGCCGCGUGUGGGAAGAAGGCCUUCGGGUUGUAAACCACUGUCGGGAGUUAAGAAAUGCAAGGAUAUUAAUAGUGUCUUUGUUUGACUAAGGCUCCGGAGGAAGCCACGGCUAACUCUGUGCCAGCAGCCGCGGUAAUACAGAGGCGGCAAGCGUUGUUCGGAAUUAUUGGGCGUAAAGAGCACGUAGGCGGCUAUGUAAGUCGGUUGUGAAAGCCUUCCGCUCAACGGAAGAACAGCAUCCGAUACUACAUGGCUUGAGUGCGGGAGGGGAAAGUGGAACUUCUGGUGGAGCGGUGAAAUGCGUAGAUAUCAGAAGGAACGCCGGCGGCGAAAGCGGCUCUCUGGCCCGUAACUGACGCUGAGUGUGCGAAAGCUAGGGGAGCAAACGGGAUUAGAUACCCCGGUAGUCCUAGCCGUAAACGAUGGGCACUAAGUAGAGGGGUUUU